rnacentral:tRNA from 1 species
UAGAAAGUAGUAUAAUGGGUGUACUUAAAGUUUUGAUCUUUAGUGUAUAGGUUCAAAUCCUAUUUUUCUAG